GCUGGGCAUGGUGGCGGGUGCCUGUAAUCCCAGUUACUCGAGAGGCUGAGGCAGGAGAAUUGCUUGAACCCGGGAGGCAGAGGUUGCGGUGAGCGGAGAUCUUGCCACUGCACUCUAGCCUGGGUGACAGAGCAAGACUCUGUCUCAA
rnacentral:SRP_RNA from 1 species